rnacentral:rRNA from 1 species
UGCAAGUAGAACGCUGAAGGAGGAGCUUGCUUCUCUGGAUGAGUUGCGAACGGGUGAGUAACGCGUAGGUAACCUGCCUGGUAGCGGGGGAUAACUAUUGGAAACGAUAGCUAAUACCGCAUAAUAGUAGAUGUUGCAUGACAUUUGCUUAAAAGGUGCAAUUGCAUCACUACUAGAUGGACCUGCGUUGUAUUAGCUAGUUGGUGGGGUAACGGCUCACCAAGGCGACGAUACAUAGCCGACCUGAGAGGGUGAUCGGCCACACUGGGACUGAGACACGGCCCAGACUCCGACGGGAGGCAGCAGUAGGGAAUCUUCGGCAAUGGACGGAAGUCUGACCGAGCAACGCCGCGUGAGUGAAGAAGGUUUUCGGAUCGUAAAGCUCUGUUGUAAGAGAAGAACGAGUGUGAGAGUGGAAAGUUCACACUGUGACGGUAUCUUACCAGAAAGGGACGGCUAACUACGUGCCAGCAGCCGCGGUAAUACGUAGGUCCCGAGCGUUGUCCGGAUUUAUUGGGCGUAAAGCGAGCGCAGGCGGUUAGAUAAGUCUGAAGUUAAAGGCCGUGGCUUAACCAUAGUACGCUUUGGAAACUGUUUAACUUGAGUGCAAGAGGGGAGAGUGGAAUUCCAUGUGUAGCGGUGAAAUGCGUAGAUAUAUGGAGGAACACCGGUGGCGAAAGCGGCUCUCUGGCUUGUAACUGACGCUGAGGCUCGAAAGCGUGGGGAGCAAACAGGAUUAGAUACCCUGGUAGUCCACGCCGUAAACGAUGAGUGCUAGGUGUUAGACCCUUUCCGGGGUUUAGUGCCGCAGCUAACGCAUUAAGCACUCCGCCUGGGGAGUACGACCGCAAGGUUGAAACUCAAAGGAAUUGACGGGGGCCCGCACA